AAUACCUUUGAUAGAUUUGUGGUCUCCAACUUCCUCCCCCUCCCUAGCUGUGAUGAGCAGCCUCCUCCUCCCUCGACCCCGACCCCCAAACCAAGCAACUGCUCGAAUGGAUGUUCAUUCUGACAAUCGUUUUUUUAAGCAACAUGGAACCUCUCCAGUUGAGUCAUUGUCAUUUCUGGUCCUAGCUGGCCACUUACUGAGCUCCCUGAAGGUAUAUGCAAAAGUGGUCCCAUAAAGCCAGACUGAUGGUUACCAAAAAUGUCUCGCUGGGGAAGGGGGUAGGGGGAGAGGGGUGGGAAGGAGUCCAGGCUACCAAGCCCUCUCUCUCUGGUGUUCAGUAGCUGCUGUCUGACCCUAUUAAGUUAGGGUCUAGCCUCUCCUUCUCAUUGCCCAUUCUUUCCCCGCGUGGGAUAAAGACAGAUCAUUAGGGAAAUGCAGACUUCUGGUUUAUUUUCUACCCCACAUCUUGGGCACAGCAUGUAUUUGGUCUCAGUAGUGCAUAUCAGACAGCGUGCCGACAGCAGGGAUCUGUGUAAUGAGAGCUACCUUCAGAGAACAAAUACCUAUCAUUUUUUCUCUAGUGUCUAUGUACAUGCAGGUUCAUUUAGAUACGCACUUAUAGAACACAAAUAUUCCUUUGAUACUUUUACUGCUUAAAAUGUCCAUGAGAAAUGUACGUUUUACUAACUGAAUAACAUAUGCGUGUGAAGCAAAAAAUAGCCUGUGCAUUGGAGACAAACGUCCUUUUUUGUUUCCGUACACUGAACGUAUUGGGGAGAGGCCUCAAGAGAAAGACGUCUCAAAACCAUCUGAAGUAUCUCAAGGGCCUCGCCACCAGAGCGACAGACUUCUCGAGACUCACUUCCUCCUUUUCUCGUUGCACUGAUGGAAAAGCUAUGGAUAUGGGUGAGGGUGAAUCUCGGAGGCUCUGUGGGCAGCCCAGCUGAAUCUCCAGUCCAGCCAACAAAAUGGAAAACCGUAGGGUUGGAGCAGGCGCGCACUGGGGACGUGGAACCCAGUUGCCUGUUCCAAGCUGCUUGAUCUGCUGGAGAAGUCAUUUUGGACAGCUUUUGGGGAUGAUUCUGUGUUGCGGAUUCUUCUUCCGUGUGGUAAUUCUGCCGAAUGCCUGCCGCCUGAGGUGGCGGAACUGCCAGAACUGUGAGUCAGAAGGGGUGCGAAAACUGAAAAAAAAAAAGCCAGGCAGACCUGACAGCUCUUUCGCUGCUACCAUGUCGAUUUGCAUAUAUUGAUUUCUGAAAGGAUCCAAUCCAAAGGACUGAUGAGAAAAGGAGUGGAGUGCACCCAAGCGCUUGUUCUGGAAGAAACAGAAGUACUAAUGGGACCGGCGUGAAACACAGGACACCCAGAGUCUGAAAUGGAAAGGAGAAGGAAACGGAAGGCUACAGAGAAGCCAUGCUGAGCUGCUUGGCCCCACCGGCAACACUUGGAGGGGUUCCAAGACGCAUUACCACAAUUUUGCACUUAGCCAAAGUGUUGACCUCUUUUCUGUUGGGAGAAGAUUGUCUUUUGGACUUAGGAAGUAGACAGGAGUGGGGUGAGGUGGUUUACUCACCCUUCUCAAAGAAAAGCACAUUUUUCUCUUGGACUUGGAGUUGGACAGCAUAGUAAAAUCACGUUCAGCGUUUCUUGUUGCCUAUAUGUUGUGUACAUGUUUAACUUUUUUAAAACUUGAUUUUUGUUUUUUUGUACAUGGGGAUCGAGAUCCAGUUUUUUAUAGCUGAACCCAGACCACCAGCCUGUUAGCAGAAACCUGGAUUUGUGCGCUGCGUCCCUGGCAUCCUUUUGAAGCCGGUCUGGGUUCUCUCCCAGCCCCAGCGCCGAAAGAUGGAACCCCACGGCCUCCUUGGUUGGCCGGGUGCCCUGCUUUGACCCAGCAACCGUGGCCUUGGGAAAGUGGCAAGAGGAUUGAUCAUGCGGUUUGGUUAAACAAGAGACUGUUGAAGUCUGAGGACCAUCACACCCUUCAGCCAAGGACCUGUGUGGAAGCACCGCUUCGUCUCUUUGACAAAACACACCCCCUGCACGAACUGCUAGGAAACUGAGCAGUGAGCCCUACCUGGUCAAACAGACCCUUCACCGGGACAUCCCAUCGGGCAGCAGCUUGGCCUAAUGGAAAGAACCCAGGCCUGGGAAUCAGAGGAUCCUUGUUUUAAUCGAGCUCUGACCCUCACCUGCUGUGUGACCUUGGCCCUUGGAGGAGCAGAGACGCCCGCCCUGCAAAGAAUACGCAAGCUUUGGGAGAGAGGAGCCUGAGGACUCUUUUAUUUUUGCUGUCGGUCCUCUGAGGGGCAGUGAGCUGGAGGCCAGCAGGUCCCGGAUGCAGGAAGGCUCCACGUUCAGGCUCGCCCGUCGUCCGUGCUCGGCGAGCUGCGCGAAGCUCCCGGGUGACCGAAGCUGCCACCGCCACCGAGGAGACGUCCAAGACAGCGAGGCGGGCAGGCUCCGGCCCGCCCCUGCCCCCUCCCGCCAGGGCAGCCGGGGUUUGGGCCGUGUGGGCGGCGAGGGGGCAGAGGAAGGGGUCCAGGCUAUAUACAGGAAUAUGUUUCAUUAA